rnacentral:tRNA from 1 species
GCCUGGGUGGCUCAGUCGGUUGAGCAUCUGAUUUCAGCUCAGGUAUUGAUUUUGCAGUCCAUGAGUUCGAACCCCACGUCGGGCU